rnacentral:rRNA from 1 species
CUAAUACAUGCAAGUAGAACGCUGAAGGAGGAGCUUGCUUCUCCGGAUGAGUUGCGAACGGGUGAGUAACGCGUAGGUAACCUGCCUGGUAGCGGGGGAUAACUAUUGGAAACGAUAGCUAAUACCGCAUAACAGUAGAUAUUGCAUGAUAUCUGCUUGAAAGGUGCAAUUGCAUCACUACCAGAUGGACCUGCGUUGUAUUAGCUAGUUGGUGGGGUAACGGCUCACCAAGGCGACGAUACAUAGCCGACCUGAGAGGGUGAUCGGCCACACUGGGACUGAGACACGGCCCAGACUCCUACGGGAGGCAGCAGUAGGGAAUCUUCGGCAAUGGACGGAAGUCUGACCGAGCAACGCCGCGUGAGUGAAGAAGGUUUUCGGAUCGUAAAGCUCUGUUGUAAGAGAAGAACGAGUGUGAGAGUGGAAAGUUCACACUGUGACGGUAUCUUACCAGAAAGGGACGGCUAACUACGUGCCAGCAGCCGCGGUAAUACGUAGGUCCCGAGCGUUGUCCGGAUUUAUUGGGCGUAAAGCGAGCGCAGGCGGUUAGAUAAGUCUGAAGUUAAAGGCUGUGGCUUAACCAUAGUACGCUUUGGAAACUGUUUAACUUGAGUGCAAGAGGGGAGAGUGGAAUUCCAUGUGUAGCGGUGAAAUGCGUAGAUAUAUGGAGGAACACCGGUGGCGAAAGCGGCUCUCUGGCUUGUAACUGACGCUGAGGCUCG